UCUAGUUUGUAUAGGCCCAGUUUUUAGCUCUCUUCAUUUCUAUUCUUUCUUCGUAUAUUUUUGUUCUAACCCUAACCUUUUUGCGCCUCUCUUUUCUCCAUCUUCUUCUGCAUCUGCUAAACCAGAAACUGAAAAAUUCAUAAAAACUAAACUCAAACUCAAACCUGUUUCUCCAUGUUUUUCAUCUCCAUCCUCAAAACCCAAAUUCUCCAACAAACCCAAAGACAACAACACCAGUUUGUUUCUCAUUAAACAAACCCCUUACUUCACCUUUUGUACCAAGAAACAAAACUGGUUGAUCUGAAUUGUUCUUUGUGAUGCGAUCAAAAGGGGAAAAUGGGCGGGAUUCUUCUCGCUCUCUCACCUAUAAAUAAAGUCCUAAAUCUUUCUGUUUUGCUGACUGAAAUCAUGAAAAUUAGUACUAAUCAAAGGGAUUUUCAGAACUCUACCGUCAUGGUAAAUGGCUAACCACAAUGAACAAAGUUCAUCAUCAUCUCCAGCAACUUCAUCUUCAGCUGGUACCUAUCACUAUCAGUUUUUUUCCUUAUUUUGUUUUGUGUAUAAUCUCUUGAACUUCAUCCACCAGUUGCCAUUUGUAAUUUUUUAUUUUGUGCAACAACUCUUUCACUGAAUCCCAGAGUUGUGUUGAUAAAAGAUUUUUCACUCAUUAAGUAUAAGUAUUAGCCUUGAGUAUCUCUUUUCUUGAGUAUCAAAGGAUGAAUAUCAAAGAGAAAACGAGGAUUGUUAGAUAACCUAUCAGGUAUUAGCAUAUUUUUUCCAUUCUCUCAGAAGUUGACCCUUAAAUUUUCAUCAAGUCUGAAUUGUUAACUCUUCGUACUUUUGUACUUGGUUUGUAGUUACAAUAUCUUUACCAUCUGGAUACAAAACUGACCAUUUCAUCUUCAUAGGUACAAAGGAAGCUGGUUGUUAUGUACUCAGAACCAAACUGUCACUAGUUCUGUAUCCUAAAUAACUCUUUAGGCGCGAACGACGGUUUCAUCGAAGCAAGUUGUCUGCUUGCACUGGUUUAGAAUGUAGUCAGUUCACCAAUACUGUGGAUUGUUUUCGUUUGAUGGAUCUCUCAAUGAUGUGUUUAUUAAGCAAUUGAGUUGCAUGAAAAUUAUAGGCUCUAUGUGACGUCUUGCUCUAGCAGAUACACACCCCUUUCCACAAGCUAUGUACUGAGAAAUUUUUCCUGGUUGAAUGUUUCUUGUCUUAUAAUGAUCUUCUUAAACUUUUUUAUUAUAAUGAUCUUCUUAAACUUUUUUACUUUUUGCCCUUCAGGCGCUGAAGGAGGCAUUGAAGUGUAUUGCAAUAAGGUUAUUGCUGAGAGCACAAGCCUAGAGCUACUGUUCACAAGUGCAACAAGGUUAUUUCCCAGUGUGGUUGAAUUGUACUUCUGUUCAGUCAAAAUUUUGUGGAAGCUUAGGAUCUUAGUAGAACUUUAGUUCAUGCUGUAUUUUUCUUUCCUAAGUCCUUUUUUUUUGGUUUCUUUGGUUUUUGGAUUGAAAAUUUUGUAAUGAGCAAUGAAUACGUGUGAUUUCAUACUUGUAAUAAAAUUACAAGUUGAUGCGAGUCAAAAUUAAUACAGUUAAUUUCUACGGUUUCCUUUAAA